CCAAUAUUGGGCUCCCAUCUUGUACCAAAAUAUAUAUAUGGCUCCCAUUGAAGAACCAAAAACGUUGAUGAAGCUCUACCAUGGCUAUCCAAACUCCCUUCACCCAUCUGCAAGUCGAUUAGCUGAGACCUCCAAGUAACCGAAGCCCUCCCAUGUCGCGAUCGUUGUUGUUCAUCAAACUUGAUUCAAAACACUAGCUCUACAAGUAACCUAGAAAAGGGCGAUCAAUUCUCUGUUUCAGCCUCUUUUUUGUGAAGAACAAGUCUCAGGGCAAAAACAAGGGUUGUGAUAUGUUUAAAUUUGUAGAUGAAGUAGAAUAAGAAUAGCGUUGAUGGUCAAACAUCCUUUACACAAACACCACGUCCAUCCAUAGAGAAUCUAUAGGAAUACCUCAGAGGCCAUAUUAGAGGAUCCGAACAACAGACAAGGUUGUCUGAGCAGCAUACGAAGACAUUGGAGGAUGUUCUUGAUGAUGUAAAAAGACUUGAUCUUAGCAAGUGAUGGAGUCUGAGAAGAGACAAAGACUUGUGUCAUUUAAAAUUAUUUUUUGGCAUUGAGGUUUCUAUAUCAACUGGUUAUAUCUUUCUAUCUAAAGGAAAAUUUACAUUAGACAUUGUUA